UAUUUCAAGUGGAUCAUCUUCUUGUUCCUGUCUAAAACUGUCAAGAAAAUAUGAUCUCGAAAUUGUAAAUCGGUGAUAUAAGUCCUAGUUUGACGGUGACCUCUUGCAGCAAAAUUUUUGGAGAGAUUUUUAUCAAAACUAUGUUUGCAAUUACGAUCAAUUAUAAAAUCAGCAAUUUAAUAAUAAGUUAUGCUUCCUCGCCCGCUUUUGGUUUCUUCCUUCCCCCCGAGAGCUGGUGAAUCUCGAAUCCUUCUCCUCCGCCGUGAUGCAAGCCGGAGGACCGUCGGCGCCCCGACCUCUUGUCGGUCACGGGGUCCCUUAAGCCCCCCGCUGGAACCGGAAGCUCGCGCUCCUUGACAAAAAGGAUGCUGAUCGAGUUCGCAAGUCCACAGUGCUCUUCUCCAGAUGGGUAUACAUAUCUGCAACUGUUUGACACUAAAAAGAAUAAUCUCUUUGUGGUGAAAUCCCCACCUGAAAGCUUCAUCAUUCGGGCAGGGGAAGCAGCUGAUAUCUUGUCGUGAGCCAGCUUCGGACCAAACUCUCUCUUAUCCCUGCAUACCUUUCAGAUUCUGAAACAAGUAGGAAGUUGUUGUCAAGCUUCAAGACAUCUGGGACUUGUGACAAAAAAAAAAAAAAGCUUCACUGAGCUCCUUCAUCACUGAAACUCAGGAACCUCUUGAGCUAGUGCAAGAAAUCCUCAAAAAAAUUCCACCAUCCUCUCAAUUGAGAAAUGGCAUGACAUUUGCAGAAUUCUCAUGUGAAACCACCAGGCAGUGCUAUAGUGGCAGCGGACCGCAGUCUGCUAUCUAAUUUGUAAAAAUGGGUAUUUCUGUAGGUUGUCAACAUCCAAUCAAAAGUUUAUUAUCUAAUUCAAACACCACAGAGGAGUUAUGAUUCUCAGAGGUUACAAAGUGCGCAAAACUAUGUCUGUAAACAAUCUGCAGUUGUUCAGUUGUUACAAUAGGAAUGAAAUAUAAAAAGAAAGUGGAAAUAGCCCAAGCUAAAACAAGGUAUUAGAAGACUUAAAAUCAUGGCUAACAUGUAGAGGGGGGAAAAGCAUUCCUGGGACUCGGCAAUUUCUGAACAUUUCCUUCUCCUUAAGAAGCUUGACAUGAACUUUCUGUUUACCAUCUACCUUCACCAGUGUUACAUGUACCAAAUGGCAGUAGUUGAGAUUGUCAAGAUAAGAGUCAGUACUUAUUUUUGGGAACCUGGAAUCAUAGAGCCAUGGCAUUUUCAGUCAGUAAUUCCUCCUGGAGAAAGUAUUCAAGAAAUCAGUUCAUAUAAGCAAGAAUAGUAUCUAAGAGUUACAAACUCACACCUCAUAUCCUACCAAAGAUCUGCAAUAGUUGGUAUUUGUAAGCACGGUGCUUGUUGAACCACAUUCACUGUCUUUGAGGGACAUGCUGGACCUGUCAAGCUUGAUUGGCCAUGGAUACUGAUAUCCAUUUGCUGUCAAACCCACGUGGGAAGAAGAUCGUUGCAUCCUAACACCUCUUGGAAUGUUUCUUCCUUCCACUGAUGGCCUCCGCCUGCUUGUUUGCCUUUCAUAUGUAUCAGUUCGUUGCCUUGGUGCACUCUGUGACCGUGCCUUUGCCCUUGAAGACUCUGUGUUGGCCAUGUAAUUUGGGUAAAAGGAGUAGUCGAAAGAAGCUUGUGUUGCAUCAGAUGCAGACAACGCUGAUAAGUACUGGGGACUGCUUUGUGCUGUGGUGAAUGAGAACUCCUCAAAAUGUCCACUGUAAGCCCUUGGGCUCAUAUCAGUUAUAGCUGAUGGAGCAGGUGAGAACUGUUGGUAUUGUUCUGCCCUGAGAGGUGGACGAGCACUGCCAUAAUAUGCAAAGGCCCUAUGAUCUUUUGUUUCAGUUUGUGUGAUAGAAUAACUGUUUCUGCUCUUUGAAGUGCUCCUUGACUCACCCAGAUCCAUUUCCACAAUUUUAGCAUUCUCCUCUGCACUUCUAUCCAACUCCUACAUGAAUGAAGCAUGUCUCAUAAGAAUGAAGAUGCAUUCAGUAAUAUUUUUACUGGAAAGCGGACUUACAUAUGAAUACCGAGAUCUGGGAUGCUGUGGUGAUCUCCUGUAUAUUGACUGCUGUUGUGAGAUGACUUUGUACUCUUCAACCAUUUGGAUCCUCUGGGCACAUGCUCGAGCUUGAGCGGUCACCAGAGCCUGCAUGCGGCGGAGAGUAGCAGUAGCUUGCUUCCUCACCAGAUGGCCUCUCACCAAUGCUUGCAGUUUCACUAGACCUUUCAGCGCACAUAAAGCUUUCCUUGCCUGCAGAUAUAGAGUAUAUUCAUCUUCUCUAUGUAUAACUCUAUGGUUCAAAUUUUAUUAGCCACAUUAUUUCUCUGUUAUAUAUAAUUGUUCCAC